rnacentral:rRNA from 1 species
CCUACGGGAGGCAGCAGUAGGGAAUCUUCCACAAUGGGCGAAAGCCUGAUGGAGCAACGCCGCGUGAGUGAUGAAGGCCUUCGGGUUGUAAAACUCUGUCAUUCGGGACGAACCGGAGUCUGAGGAAAUGCAGACUCUCUGACGGUACCGGAGGAGGAAGCCCCGGCUAACUACGUGCCAGCAGCCGCGGUAAUACGUAGGGGGCAAGCGUUGUCCGGAUUCACUGGGCGUAAAGCGCGCGCAGGCGGUGAUGUAAGUCUGAGGUGAAAACCCGAAGCUCAACUUCGGGACUGCCUUGGAUACUGCGUCACUUGAGGAUAGGAGAGGCAAGGGGAAUUCCACGUGUAGCGGUGAAAUGCGUAGAGAUGUGGAGGAACACCUGUGGCGAAGGCGCCUUGCUGGCCUAUUUCUGACGCUGAGGCGCGAAAGCGUGGGGAGCAAACAGGAUUAGAUACCCUGGUAGUCCACGCUGUAAACGAUGAGUGCUAGGUGUAGGUGGGCUCAUACCCAUCUGUGCCGAAGCUAAACGCAUUAAGCACUCCCGCCCUGGGGAGUACGGUCGCAAGACUGAAAACUCAAAAGGAAUUGACGG